AUAAAUAAUUUUGUUUUCCAGUUCUCAUCACCGGACGUCAAUUUUACCAUUUUCAGCCGCAUACUUUGCUCUGUGGCCGCGGCGGCUCGUGCGGCUUGCCUCCACUCCUGUUCACUGUCACGAUCGCUUCUCCUGCACUGCCUCCACUGCCGAACCAGUCUCGGUACUUCCUUUUCCGGUUCAACCGAAUAUUCUCAACCACCCGGCCCUCUUCCACCGCCAAACCUCCUCCAGUGGCGGUUCGCUCUCAGGCCAAGCGAGUCUUCUUAUUCAAAGAAGACGAAGUAACUUCCCGUGAGCGGACCUCAAAUUGCAUACUGGAUUAAAUUUAUGGUGUUUAAUCCAGUAGGAAAGCGUGCGACAGCUGAAGAUUCGUUUGAGCAUUUGCUUCCGUCACAGUAGAAUUGGUCAAUCAUGAUUGGAGUUUCAACUCCAGAAACUUGAAUGUUUGAGAAUGUGACUCCUUGUACUGAGCCUGAGCCUCCCUGCAGUAGGUAAAUGAAAUAACUAUUAGAUGCUUUCAGAAUUGUAUAUGUAUGUGUUACUAAAGGAGAAAGUCAAUGGGAUAAAUUUGGAUGUUUGUGGUAUUCAUGCCUGCCAUGUCUUUAUCCUAACACCGGUUAAUGUGUUUUGCAUUGCAACAUUCCGGAUGGUGACGUUUGAAACACAGGCUUUGGUGUUGUCCUUUCCAAGCCCUCCAAUGCUAAUGCCAUGUCCAGGUCCACAAUUUACAUUGUGUAUGUAAACAUUUGAGCAUCCAGUUUGAAUAGAUACACAGUCAUCCCCUGUGAAGUCAGUAGGAUAAGAAAUUAAUAUCUUAUCUGAUUUGAUGCAUGUGGACACGAUGAUGAAUUUAGCCACUGAGGCUCUCUUAUUCUGGAUUUCUUGUUUGAUCUUCUAAUGUGUUUGAAUAUUACUUUCAGUAAAAGUAGUUACUUGGUGCCAUUAUGAAGACAAUAUCCAUUAUGGUUCACUAGUUUAGUUUCUGAAAUUACCACAAGCAAGAUCAGAGCUGUAAAUGAGCACAUCUCGGGAAUUCUGUAGGUGAAUUCCAUCUGUAUGUGGACUGUUCUCAGGUGAUGCAGCAGUGAAACCUGAAACCUGAACAGAUGUGCAAUCAUCGAAUUUAAGAUGGGUUUGAGGGCUGUUUUGAAUUGUUAUCCCGGUGACGGUCACAUCAGUACUACCAUAGAAUCUUAGAGCCUGCAUAGAUAGAGCAAAAACAUAAGCAAAAACGUUCUUAAUAUCAACAACCUGGUGAGACUCUGAAAAGAGGAGGUUUUGUGAGGAGGCUUACUGUUGGCUUGGUGCUAGGCAUUUUUGCACUGAGCUCACUGCUUACCUGCUAGAUAUCAUUUGCACAAUAGGGCAGAGGGUUAUCUUUGUACAAUUUCAACUUUAAAUUAGCAGUGGAUUUAUUUUAUUUUAUUUUUAAUCCUUUACCUCUGAAUCUGGACUGUAUGUUGGUAGGUCAUUCCACCAGACUGAACCUUGUCCAUCAAUGACACCUUUACCUCUGAUUGUGAUCCCUUUCAGUUUUGUGAACUCAAUCCAUUGCAAAAGCCCUGAUCCCCAAGCUCCAGCACUUGUGGGAGCUAUGAUCUUGCCAUCUAACUGCAUGACAUUACAAACAAAUUCUAGUUCAUUCUGUUAAGUCUAAAAGUUCAACCUUCAAAUGAUGAGGCUUGUGGAAUAAAAAGGUGUGCUCAUUAAGAGUAUGGAAAAUUUACCUGAAAUAUAAUGUUUUCUGCACAAUUAGGACCUGAAAAAGAUAUUGGCUGGACAAGGAAAAUAGACCCAGAAGGAACCACUAUUGUUGAUGCUUCUACUUUGCAAGCAGCUGCCCAUACUGCCUCAAAUGCCUGUCCCACAUGAUAGCAGUUCCAAUAUGACAAGUGUAAGAAUUCCAAACAAAAAUGGGAAUAAGGUCAGCCUUCCAAUAUUAGUCUAUUUACCAUAUCUUUUUAGUGUCAUUCUCUUGCUUAUUCUAGUAUAUUUUGAUUUAUGAUUGCCUUGUUUACUAUUUGAUGUCACUGAAACUGCUGCUCACAUCCUUGGCAGGUGCUACUAAUCACAAAUUGCAAAAGAUGAACCCCUUUUAGUACUUUCUUGAUAUGGUGAAGCAUAGAUGUGUGUGUGUGUGUGUGUGUGUGUGUGUGGAGCAAACCCUUUUCCAUAUUUUCUUAAUUAUCUUUUCCUAAACAAUUAGUCAUAAGUAUUUCUGUUGCAGUAAAUGGUAUCAUGGCUAACAUAUAUUUGUCUUUCGAGUCUAGUUAAAAGCAGAUCAUUCAAUUUAUGACUAUAUAUUUCAUAGGAAAGAAAGGCACUAAUAUCGUAAACUUGACAACAUUCCAUAAGUUCAUCUACAUUGUGACACACUAAAAACAGAGAAUCGAAGAUGUUAAGUGUCUAGCAGAAUUCUUGUAACUUUGAAUUGCUAUGGUAUAUUAUGUAUUAUAUAGGAUUUUGAAAUGUUUUAAUUUAAACCUCAUAUAUGAAACUCAUAGGGAAAAAAUAUAUAUGAAGGCUUCAUGAAAUAAUCACCUUUGUGUCAUCAGUAUGCCCAUCGCCUUUAGCACCAUAGUCAAGGACAUUAAAGGUGGAAGCAGAGCUCUGUCCUUUCUGAGUUGCCAUAGUUUUAUCCGGCAAAAUGUAAUAAGAAUCCGUGAACUUUGACAAGCUGCGGCCAUGGUGAUGACUCUGCAUAGACACAGAGGCUGCUGGGGCAGUUUUGCUUUGCCUCCAGUAUUUGCCUUGUCUUGCAUGGCAAGGUUCAAUUCUUGCAGACCAAGCAAAUAAGAUAAUGAUGAGGAUGGUGAUUAGUGAAAGGUUCUCAAGAUUGAAGCCACCCAUUUUGAUCAUGUGAAGGAUGAUUCUUUUCUUUAAUUAGAUGACUAAUGAAGAAGAAGAAGAUAAAUGGGUUUUCUAUAUGUGCCAAUGUGGAAGAUGAGUGGAUUUUAUGUGAUCUAUUUUGAGAUUGGUGGACGUGAAUUUAUAGGGAGAAGGUAGUCUAAGGUCAUGGCACUAUUCAGGCAUAUGAUAAACAGUUACAUUAAAGACGGGUUUCUUCCUUCUUCAAUUUUCUUAGUUCGUCUAUUUGUGUCCCACGUUUGAUGUGAUAGUAUAUUAUUAUUUGUUUUAUCUCUCAAUUAUUCUAUUGAUUCA